GGCCUACGGGGCGCAGCAGUCGAGAAUCAUUCACAAUGGGGGAAACCCUGAUGCAGCGACGCCGCGUGAGUGAAGAAGUAUUUCGGUAUGUAAAGCUCUAUCAGCAGGGAAGAAGAAAGACGGUACCUGACUAAGAAGCCCCGGCUAACUACGUGCCAGCAGCCGCGGUAAUACGUAGGGGGCAAGCGUUAUCCGGAUUUACUGGGUGUAAAGGGAGCGUAGACGGAGAAGCGAGUCUGAAGUGAAAGCCCGUGGCUUAACCACGGGACUGCUUUGGAAACUGUUUGACUAGAGUGCUGGAGAGG
rnacentral:rRNA from 1 species